rnacentral:rRNA from 1 species
GGGUUGUGAGGUUAAGCGACUAAGCGUACACGGUGGAUGCCCUGGCAGUCAGAGGCGAUGAAGGACGUGCUAAUCUGCGAUAAGCGUCGGUAAGGUGAUAUGAACCGUUAUAACCGGCGAUUUCCGAAUGGGGAAACCCAGUGUGAUUCGUCACACUAUCAUUAACUGAAUCCAUAGGUUAAUGAGGCGAACCGGGGGAACUGAAACAUCUAAGUACCCCGAGGAAAAGAAAUCAACCGAGAUUCCCCCCAGUAGCGGCGAGCGAACGGGGAGGAGCCCAGAGCCUGAAUCAGUGUGUGUGUUAGUGGAAGCGUCUGGAAAGGCGCGCGAUACAGGGUGACAGCCCCGUACACAAAAAUGCACAUAUUGUGAGCUCGAUGAGUAGGGCGGGACACGUGGUAUCCUGUCUGAAUAUGGGGGGACCAUCCUCCAAGGCUAAAUACUCCUGACUGACCGAUAGUGAACCAGUACCGUGAGGGAAAGGCGAAAAGAACCCCGGCGAGGGGAGUGAAAAAGAACCUGAAACCGUGUACGUACAAGCAGUGGGAGCACGCUUAGGCGUGUGACUGCGUACCUUUUGUAUAAUGGGUCAGCGACUUAUAUUCUGUAGCAAGGUUAACCGAAUAGGGGAGCCGAAGGGAAACCGAGUCUUAACUGGGCGUUAAGUUUCAGGGUAUAGACCCGAAACCCGGUGAUCUAGCCAUGGGCAGGUUGAAGGUUGGGUAACACUAACUGGAGGACCGAACCGACUAAUGUUGAAAAAUUAGCGGAUGACUUGUGGCUGGGGGUGAAAGGCCAAUCAAACCGGGAGAUAGCUGGUUCUCCCCGAAAGCUAUUUAGGUAGCGCCUCGUGAAUUCAUCUCCGGGGGUAGAGCACUGUUUCGGCAAGGGGGUCAUCCCGACUUACCAACCCGAUGCAAACUGCGAAUACCGGAGAAUGUUAUCACGGGAGACACACGGCGGGUGCUAACGUCCGUCGUGAAGAGGGAAACAACCCAGACCGCCAGCUAAGGUCCCAAAGUCAUGGUUAAGUGGGAAACGAUGUGGGAAGGCCCAGACAGCCAGGAUGUUGGCUUAGAAGCAGCCAUCAUUUAAAGAAAGCGUAAUAGCUCACUGGUCGAGUCGGCCUGCGCGGAAGAUGUAACGGGGCUAAACCAUGCACCGAAGCUGCGGCAGCGACGCUUAUGCGUUGUUGGGUAGGGGAGCGUUCUGUAAGCCUGUGAAGGUGUGCUGUGAGGCAUGCUGGAGGUAUCAGAAGUGCGAAUGCUGACAUAAGUAACGAUAAAGCGGGUGAAAAGCCCGCUCGCCGGAAGACCAAGGGUUCCUGUCCAACGUUAAUCGGGGCAGGGUGAGUCGACCCCUAAGGCGAGGCCGAAAGGCGUAGUCGAUGGGAAACAGGUUAAUAUUCCUGUACUUGGUGUUACUGCGAAGGGGGGACGGAGAAGGCUAUGUUGGCCGGGCGACGGUUGUCCCGGUUUAAGCGUGUAGGCUGGUUUUCCAGGCAAAUCCGGAAAAUCAAGGCUGAGGCGUGAUGACGAGGCACUACGGUGCUGAAGCAACAAAUGCCCUGCUUCCAGGAAAAGCCUCUAAGCAUCAGGUAACAUCAAAUCGUACCCCAAACCGACACAGGUGGUCAGGUAGAGAAUACCAAGGCGCUUGAGAGAACUCGGGUGAAGGAACUAGGCAAAAUGGUGCCGUAACUUCGGGAGAAGGCACGCUGAUAUGUAGGUGAAGUCCCUCGCGGAUGGAGCUGAAAUCAGUCGAAGAUACCAGCUGGCUGCAACUGUUUAUUAAAAACACAGCACUGUGCAAACACGAAAGUGGACGUAUACGGUGUGACGCCUGCCCGGUGCCGGAAGGUUAAUUGAUGGGGUUAGCCGCAAGGCGAAGCUCUUGAUCGAAGCCCCGGUAAACGGCGGCCGUAACUAUAACGGUCCUAAGGUAGCGAAAUUCCUUGUCGGGUAAGUUCCGACCUGCACGAAUGGCGUAAUGAUGGCCAGGCUGUCUCCACCCGAGACUCAGUGAAAUUGAACUCGCUGUGAAGAUGCAGUGUACCCGCGGCAAGACGGAAAGACCCCGUGAACCUUUACUAUAGCUUGACACUGAACAUUGAGCCUUGAUGUGUAGGAUAGGUGGGAGGCUUUGAAGUGUGGACGCCAGUCUGCAUGGAGCCGACCUUGAAAUACCACCCUUUAAUGUUUGAUGUUCUAACGUUGACCCGUAAUCCGGGUUGCGGACAGUGUCUGGUGGGUAGUUUGACUGGGGCGGUCUCCUCCUAAAGAGUAACGGAGGAGCACGAAGGUUGGCUAAUCCUACGGUCGGACAUCAGGAGGUUAGUGCAAUGGCAUAAGCCAGCUUGACUGCGAGCGUGACGGCGCGAGCAGGUGCGAAAGCAGGUCAUAGUGAUCCGGUGGUUCUGAAUGGAAGGGCCAUCGCUCAACGGAUAAAAGGUACUCCGGGGAUAACAGGCUGAUACCGCCCAAGAGUUCAUAUCGACGGCGGUGUUUGGCACCUCGAUGUCGGCUCAUCACAUCCUGGGGCUGAAGUAGGUCCCAAGGGUAUGGCUGUUCGCCAUUUAAAGUGGUACGCGAGCUGGGUUUAGAACGUCGUGAGACAGUUCGGUCCCUAUCUGCCGUGGGCGCUGGAGAACUGAGGGGGGCUGCUCCUAGUACGAGAGGACCGGAGUGGACGCAUCACUGGUGUUCGGGUUGUCAUGCCAAUGGCACUGCCCGGUAGCUAAAUGCGGAAGAGAUAAGUGCUGAAAGCAUCUAAGCACGAAACUUGCCCCGAGAUGAGUUCUCCCUGACUCCUUGAGAGUCCUGAAGGAACGUUGAAGACGACGACGUUGAUAGGCCGGGUGUGUAAGCGCAGCGAUGCGUUGAGCUAACCGGUACUAAUGAACCGUGAGGCUUAACCUUACAACGCCGAAGGUGUUU